UGCAUGUUUCUUUCUGGUAAGGUUAAAGAAAUUGCCCGGCCGCUGAGAGGUGUUAUGCUUCUCUACUAUGAAGUUAAGUUACUCAUAAAAAGGAUACUGCACAAGUUCAGAGAAUCAAGCAGAAAGCAUCCCACAAGGAAAAAACCAGUUUGUGACCUUGUAUGAAUUCUGCACUGGGGGAGUUAAGCGGCUCCUUGUCUACGAGUAUCCGGAGAGCAUGCAUUAUUUGCGUCAGCACACAUGUGGACCCAUGGACCGUGCACAAUGGGUCACAUGCUUAGGUUGGUUGUGAACCCAAUUACCUGCUAAUAAGGCGCGUAAUCGUUCGAACUCUUUUGUUCCACUUAAAGCCCAAUUUUUGCCAAUCAUGUCACCCCUCAUUGGCAAAAAUUUUAAAUUUUAAAUCUUGAAUUCUUGAAUCAAUUCUUGAUUCAUCGGCACGUUU